rnacentral:tRNA from 2 species
GGGCCCGUAGCUCAGCCAGGAUAGAGCGCCGGCCUCCGGAGCCGGAGAUCCCGGGUUCAAAUCCCGGCGGGCCCG